rnacentral:tRNA from 2 species
GCGCCCGUAGCUCAGUUGGAUAGAGCGCCGGGCUUCGAACCCGUAGGUCGGGGGUUCAAAUCCCUCCGGGCGCACCA